rnacentral:misc_RNA from 1 species
AAAAAAUAGUGGCCUUAUCUUGCAGCAAAACACUCUAUGCAACAAGGAAUCCCUGAUAUAUUUAAAAUCUUUACUGCUGAGGAGUUGAGAAAGGCCACCGAUAACUGUGAUGAGAGCACCAUAGUUGGCAUGCAGAGGAGGCUUUGUAAAGGGAUUUUAUCGGAUAACGGAGAAGUUGCGAUCAAGGAGUCGAUAAGAUUUAUAAGGUAUUUUAUAAAAUUUACGUUGGAAUUUGGUUAAAAUCAUAAUUAUAUCCUUGCGUUUUGAAUUUUAAACAAAAUUGUCCCUAAACUUUAAUUUCAUCUACAAAAAGCUGCAAAUUCAAGAUAUUGGUCAUGGAU